UGUGUUUUUUCCUGCGACGGAAGAACCGGUUCAGCCGCGGUGUCCCGGGGCCGCAACUACUGCCUUUCCAAAGGCGCAGGCGGGUGAAACGGGCGCCUAUCCCGGGGUCCUGAAGCCCUUCUGGGCUCCACGUGGUCUGGAGGUUCUGGCGGUGCGCACCUCUAGAUCAGGCGGCUGCGGCGGAGGCAGAGAGAAGGGCAGGAGAGUCUAAAGACGGCUGCAGCAGUGAGCAGUGUGACACCUCUCAGGACCCUGACUCCACAUCCCUAGCAGGGCAUCCUGCUGCCUUUGUACCUGAGCAUUCUGCUGUGCCUCUGCCCAGAGGACUUGGGAUGGCUACGUGUUACCUGAACAAAACAUUCCGAAUGGUUUUUGCUUUCUGCAGGACCCAAGGUAGUAACGAAGAGCCAAGCCUCCUUUUGUCCAAUGCAGAGAGGUAGAGAGAAGGGCAGGAGAGUCUAAAGACGGCUGCAGCAGUGAGGUGGAGAGGAGAGCUGGAUUGUCGAAAGAUGGCUGUGGCAGGGAGGCGAGUGAUUCAUUACGCCGAGGUCCUUUUCACAGGUGGAGAGAAGGACAGGAGAUCUGAAAGACAGCCGUGGACAUGAGACCGAAAAACAAGGACCCUGACUCCACGUCCCCACCAGGGUGGACAAUCUGGCAUCGUGCUGUUACAUCAGAUCAAAGGGGCACAUUUGGCCCAGCUGGUGUAUGCUAACCUCUCACAGUGGGAAUGCUCCUUGGUGUACAGCUUGUGGAAGCAAGAGGUUGAUGAUGAGCUACUGUUACCGUGACUACCCACGGUCCACACUGCACUUCACCUGACGGGUGUCUCGAGGGCAACAUUUCAGGUCGUCAUGGAUUUCCCAGCGACCGAUUUACUAAUGAGGACCCGGCAGCUUUUGUGCAGUGCACAGAGGUAGAGAGAAGGGCAGGAGAGUUUAAAGACGGCUGCAGCAGUGAGCUCGUGAUGAACAUUGGAACCUGGACCAUGGGCUCUCCAGCCCCAGUGGGAGACAUCAAGAGCAAUGAAUACAACCUGAGAUGCCCAGAUACAGCAGCGCACCCUGCCUUUUAGCUUGCUGAGUGUUGUUAAGGGUUAAAAUGUAGACUGGGUGCUUCUGAUGUCUGUAAUAAAAUCAGUGUUUCCUCUGUUGUUGCUGCUUCUUUGAAAGAUACUGCUCGGUCUCUCAACACGAAAGAAUCCAGCAGAACCAAUUUUUUUUUAAAAGAUAGGGCAUUAAAUUAAUCUAUUCACCACAAAACUACCAGAUUCCCACAGGACACUGGUAAAUUUAAUAAAUUGGUUUAUUCUUGUCACAUAUAUGGAGAUACAGUGAAAAACUUUGUUUUGCAUGCCGUUGAUACAUCGAGGUAGUACAAGGGUAAAGCAAUAACAGAAUGCUGAAUAGAGUGUUACAGUUACAGAGAAAGUGCAGUGUGUCGUGAUGGCCUAAACAGCCACACAGGAGCUGUAACUGGGAGCUAUAAAAGUCUUUAUUCAACCGUAGAUAUCCUGGAGAGAAUCUCGUUCUCCUUG